rnacentral:lncRNA from 1 species
AUGGGAAUGGGAUCGGGUGGCAGCUGGCCAGGGGCGUGUGUGCCCUUUUGCUUUACAGCAUCUGGCUCUGUCGCUGGGUCUAACACCCCGCGACAGUCCCUGGUGCCAGCCCGGGGGAUGGGAUCCACCCUCUUUGCACCGCCAAGAAUGAACCUGAAAGCUGGCGCUGGCAGCAGCUUUAUUGAUACUGGGGGGCCAUCAGCACGGCGCCGAAUGCCCUUGUCCUGUCCCUUGCUCGGUGUCUGGGCUGUCCCCUGUCCCCUCUGUUGGCCCUUGGUAGCAGGGAGCGAGCGUGGCCGUACCAAUGAGUGGCAUCGCCACGCACGCGAGCUGAAUCCUGCAAUUUUGGGGCUAGCAGCUAGCUUUGAAUGCUGCGUGCCCAACCCCGAAACCACCAGGACCUCCCCACCAACCUGGCGCAGGGCUGGGUGGAGAAAAACCGUACAGGGGGGCACAAGGGGGUGUCUGGGGACAGGGUCGGGGGUGCCAUCGGGGCACCCUCAGGGCUCCCAGCCCCCCGGGCGCUCAGCCCCGACGCUCUCGCUGGACGGAGCCUUCACCAGGACCAGCGGCAGCUCCUUCCUCCGCAUUUCGGUGGCCUUUGGUGACCGGGGUCCCCCCAGGGGACCACCCGGCGUGGGGGGCUCGCUGCCCCGGCUCUCAUCCUCCGUCUCCUCCUCCUCGAUGCGAUCCACCGCCUCGGGGUCCUCGGGGCGGCCGGGGUGCGGGGAGGGGAAGGCUCCGUCCCCCCGGGGACGCCGCAGGUGGGGGGUGGCUCGGCCGCCCCGGCCGAAAUUUUUGAUGCUGAUGGCGGGGGAGGCGGCGGCGAGGAAGCGGCCGAGCAGGGGCGUCUGGAUGCGCGGCAUGCUCGGCGAGACCUCCACCGGCUGGCUCUGCUCCACGUCCUCGCACAUGCUGGGGGAGCACGGCAGGGUGGUGGGGACGGCCACACGUCCCCAAGGUCCCCCUGACAGCCUGGGGACACCCAGCCCUGCACAGGGCCAUGCCGGGACGGUGGCACCCAGGGCACACGGUGCAGGCAGGGACCCCCCCACAAGUCUCCAGCUGGGGCUCCCGGCUGCGCCGUGCACUCACCGCAUGUCGAAGGUGGAGCCCAGGAAGGAGGGCUUCAGGGUCUCGGCGGCGGUGGCCAUGGUGUAG